GGAGACAUAGCUCAGUUGGUAGAGUGCUUGCCUUGCAUGCACAAGGCCCUGGGUUCAAUCCCCAGUACCA
rnacentral:tRNA from 1 species